rnacentral:tRNA from 1 species
UAUUUAUAUAGUUUAAUUAUUAAAACAUUACAUUUUCACUGUAAAAAUAUAAUUUAAUUUAUUAUUAUAAAUAU